rnacentral:tRNA from 1 species
GGUCGUAUGGUGUAAUGGUUAGCACUCCGGACUCUGAAUCCAACGAUCCGAGUUCAAGCCUCGGUGGGACCU